rnacentral:rRNA from 1 species
UACGUAGGGUGCAGGCGUUAAUCGGAAUUACUGGGCGUAAAGCGUGCGCAGGCGGUUUCUUAAGUCAGAUGUGAAAGCCCCGGGCUUAAACUGGGAACUGCGUUUGAAACUGGGAGACUAGAGUGUGGCAGAGGGGGGUGGAAUUCCACGUGUAGCAGUGAAAUGCGUAGAUAUGUGGAGGAACACCGCUGGCGAAGGCAGCCCCCUGGGUUAACACUGACGCUCAUGCACGAAAGCGUGGGGAGCAAACAGG